AUAGCUCAGCCUGGUCAGAGCACUCGGCUCUUAACCGAGGUGUCGAGGGUUCGAAACAAUCU
rnacentral:tRNA from 1 species